rnacentral:tRNA from 1 species
GCCAGUGUGGCUCAGUGGUGAGCGCCGACCUAGGAACCCGGAGGUCGGGGUUCGAUUCCCGGCCAAGGGCA